rnacentral:rRNA from 1 species
UACGUAGGAUGCAAGCGUUGUCCGGAAUUAUUGGGCGUAAAGAGCGAGCAGGCGGUUUGGAAAGUUGGACGUGAAAUUUUAGGGCUUAACCCUAAAGGGUCGUCCAAAACUCCCAGACUAGAGUGCAGGAGAGGAAAGCGGAAUUCCCGGUGUAGUGGUGAAAUGCGUAGAUAUCGGGAGGAACACCAGAGGCGAAGGCGGCUUUCUGGCCUGUAACUGACGCUGAGGCGCGAAGGCUAGGGGAGCGAACGGG